UACAGAGGUCUCAAGCGUUGUUCGGAUUCAUUGGGCGUAAAGGGUGCGUAGGCGGUCGUGCAAGUCGGAUGUGAAAUCUCAGGGCUCAACCCUGAAACUGCAUUCGAUACUGCGUGGCUAGAGUGCUGGAGAGGAGACUGGAAUUUACGGUGUAGCAGUGAAAUGCGUAGAUAUCGUAAGGAAGACCAGUGGCGAAGGCGACUUACUGGACACAUAUUGACGCUGAGGUGCGAAAGCGUGGGGAGCAAACAGG
rnacentral:rRNA from 1 species